GAGACCGUACCAAACUCAUUCGCCAGAGUACUACAAGCAAAAGCUUAAAACUCAAAGGACUUGGCGGUGUUUCAGACCCACCUAGAGGAGCCUGUUCUAGAACCGAUAAUACUCGUUUAACCUCACCACUUCUUGUUUCCCCAGCCUAUAUACCGCCGUCGUCAGCUUACCCUGUGAAGGUCAAAAAGUAAGCAAAAUGGGUAUAACCCAAAACGUCAGGCCGAGGUGUAGCGCACGAAGUGGGAAGAAAUGGGCUACAUUUUCUAAUAAUAGAAUAUUACGCACGAUGCACUGAAACGUGCAUCUUUAAAGGUGGAUUUAGUAGUAAAAAGCAAAUAGAG
rnacentral:rRNA from 1 species